UACGUAGGGUGCGAGCGUUGUCCGGAAUUAUUGGGCGUAAAGGGCUCGUAGGCGGUUUGUCGCGUCGGGAGUGAAAUCCACUGGCUUAACUGGUGGCUUGCUUUCGAUACGGGCAGACUGGAGGCAUGCAGGGGAGAACGGAAUUCCUGGUGUAGCGGUGGAAUGCGCAGAUAUCAGGAAGAACACCGAUGGCGAAGGCAGAUCUCUGGGCCGUAACUGACGCUGAGGAGCGAAAGCAUGGGGAGCGAACAGG
rnacentral:rRNA from 1 species